UCCCUGGCUUGGAGUUGUUUUUAUAACUCACUUAGUGCAGACCUUUGUCCCCUUGCCGGCUCCACUGGGAGUUUCUAAGGAGUGAGAAGCUCUUUGGAUCUUAGGAACUGAAUCUUAGAAUUUUAUUUUUCAUUUGCACGGUGGGGGCGGGUGACUGCACUGCCUGCACCCCACAACUCCCUACUCAGCGAAUAACGACUGUAGACACCACUGUACCAGGACUCGCUUGAACGCGAAUUAUUUUUCAUUAAUCCUCAAAAUGACCGAGCCAGUGCUGGGAUGGAACCCUGGAGCAUGGCGGUCCUGCCCUCUUAGCCCUUUCCUGCUUUCCAGAUGGGAAAAGGAAGUAAGCAAAAAAAUAAACAAGUCUGCACGAGGGUGACAAAGGAAGCCCGAGGAGGGCAGCCGGCAGAGGGUCCCCAGUCCUCCCCUGGGCAGGUCCCCUCCAGGCGUCCCGCUGAGCGCCUCUGGGGCCAGAACCCUCCCGCAGUCUGCAGAGGCGGGGGCUCCCCGUCUCCCGCUCCCCACAACUUGAAUUUUUAAUGUGGCUCCACAGAACAAAGCAGAGUUUCUGUUUCGAGAGCUCAAAACCCAUUUCUCAAGUCUGAGCGGCCCUGCGUGAAGAGGCCGCGGCCGGCAGGGCCUGGGCCGUGGGUCGUCCUCAGCUGUCCCCAGGCUCCUUCCCAAUCUUGUUUAAUUAAAAAGCAAAAAAGAG